CAGGCAUCCAUGUGCCCAGCGGUAUUUCAGGAGCCAGGCGGGAGCAGAGCCCCAAACUGCCCACCACACCCCACUCCUUGAGACUCACAUUCCUCAGCCCCAAAGGUGCUUGCUGACCAGUGAAGUGCAAAUCAAAUCCCAUCGUAACUACCCCUUAGAAGCCUGCCGGCGAUCUACAGAAAUCCCGCAAACGGGUGACUCGGCCAAGCCAGUGAUCCCUGUGGAAAGCUGGCCGGGCCAUAGUCCCUCCACCUAGAGCACCCUGUGGCUGGGAAGAAGGGCAAGGCAGCCAGGCCACCUCCAGGCUUCCUCCUUGACGCAGGGCCACAGAGGGUCAAGGGGGGAGGUCAAGGCACAGGCGUGUCCUCCGUGUAGAGGGGAAGUCAUGGUGGCUACCCAACCCCUGCCCUUUGCUGUGGGAAGCAGCUCUAGGUGCUGUGCGUGUACAGCGCUCACCGUGGUGGCGGCUACCUGGCCCCUGCCCGUUGCUGGUGCAUGGACAGCGCUCAGCUGGCGUCUCCUCCACACAAUCCUCGGUUCCUUCAGAAUUUUGAGCCAGGCAAAGCAUCGCCAUUUGCAAUGUAAAUUAGGGCUGGGCGGUAGCUAUAAUCCCAGCACUUUGGGAGGCUGAGGCAGGCGGAUCACCUGAGGUCAGGACUUCAAGACCAGCCUGGCCAACAUGGCGAAACCCCGUCUCUACUAAAAAAAAAAAACAAAAAUUAGCCAGGCAUGGUGGCUCAUGCCUGUAAUCCC
rnacentral:lncRNA from 10 species